ensembl:misc_RNA 7SK 7SK RNA
GGAUGUGAGGGUGAUCUGGUUGCAACAUCUGUCACCUCAGUGAUCGCCAGGGUUGAUGUGGCUGCUCUGUUGGCUAGCCCGGUGUCCCCUUCAGUCUGCAGCACUCCAUGUGUGUCCCUUCCCAAGCACUGUGCGCUGGCUUGCUCACGCAGGACAACCAUCCCCCAUAAGGGAGGACCUUCUUAGAUCAAGAGUAUGCGAGUAGCGGCGCUCUCCUGCUAGAACCUCCAAAGAAACUCUCAAGGUCCAUUUGUAAGAGAACGUAGUGUAAAAAAUAUAAAAAUAUGGAUCUGAAAACUGAAGGAUUCGAUGUAAAGGUGAAAUGAAUCCUUAC